rnacentral:rRNA from 1 species
UGAGCUUGAUCCUGGCUCAGGAUGAACGCUAGCGGCAGGCUUAACACAUGCAAGUCGAGGGGUAUUAGUUUUCGGACUAAGAGACCGGCGCACGGGUGCGUAACGCGUAUGCAAUCUACCUUUUACAGAGGGAUAGCCCAGAGAAAUUUGGAUUAAUACCUCAUAGUAUAAUGACUCGGCAUCGAGAUAUUAUUAAAGUCACAACGGUAAAAGAUGAGCAUGCGUCCCAUUAGCUAGUUGGUAAGGUAACGGCUUACCAAGGCUACGAUGGGUAGGGGUCCUGAGAGGGAGAUCCCCCACACUGGUACUGAGACACGGACCAGACUCCUACGGGAGGCAGCAGUGAGGAAUAUUGGACAAUGGGCGCAAGCCUGAUCCAGCCAUGCCGCGUGCAGGAUGACGGUCCUAUGGAUUGUAAACUGCUUUUAUACGAGAAGAAACACUGCUUCGUGAAGCAGCUGACGGUAUCUAG